UGCGGGAUGGAGCAGUGGCAGCUCGUCAGGCCCAUAACCUGAAGGUCGUAGGUUCAAAUCCUGCUCCCGCUACCA
rnacentral:tRNA from 1 species